rnacentral:rRNA from 1 species
GAUGAACGCUGGCAGAAUGCUUAACACAUGCAAGUCAACUUGAACUUCGGUUUGGGUGGCGGACUGGUGAGUAACGCGUAAAGAACUUGCCUCACAGCUAGGGACAACAUUUGGAAACGAAUGCUAAUACCUGAUAUUAUGAUUAUAUGGCAUCUUAUAAUUAUGAAAGCUAUAUGCGCUGUGAGAGAGCUUUGCGUCCCAUUAGCUAGUUGGGGAGGUAACAGCUCACCAAGGAGAUGAUGGGUAGCCGGCCUGAGAGGGUGAUCGGCCACAAGGGGACUGAGACACGGCCCUUACUCCUACGGGAGGCAGCAGUGGGGAAUAUUGGAAACUGGACCGAGAGUCUGAUGCAGCAAUUCUGUGUGCAAGAUGAAGUUUUUCGGAAUGUAAAGUGCUUUAAGUUGGGAAGAAAAAAAUGACGGUACCAACAGAAGAAGUGACGGCUAAAUACGUG